GAGUUUGAUCUUGGCUCAGAUUGAACGCUGGCGGCAUGCCUUACACAUGCAAGUCGAACGGCAGCAUGAUCUAGCUUGCUAGAUUGAUGGCGAGUGGCGAACGGGUGAGUAAUACAUCGGAACGUGCCCUGUAGUGGGGAUAACUAGUCGAAAGAUUAGCUAAUACCGCAUACGACCUGAGGGUGAAAGUGGGGGACCGCAAGGCCUCAUGCUAUAGGAGCGGCCGAUGUCUGAUUAGCUAGUUGGUGGGUAAAGGCCCACCAAGGCGACGAUCAGUAGCUGGUCUGAGAGGACGGUCAGCCACACUGGGACUGAGACACGGCCCAGACUCCUACGGGAGGCAGCAGUGGGGAAUUUUGGACAAUGGGGGCAACCCUGAUCCAGCAAUGCCGCGUGUGUGAAGAAGGCC
rnacentral:rRNA from 1 species